CCAAUAGCGUAUAUUAAAGUUGUUGCAGUUAAAAAGCUCGUAGUUGAAUUUCGGGACUAAUAUGUCGGUCGUACUUUGUACGUACUAGCAUUAUUGGUUUCUCCCUUCUGACGAACCACGAUGUCAUUAAUUUGGUGUCUUGGGAAAUCAGGACUGUUACUUUGAAAAAAUUAGAGUGUUUAAAGCAAGCUCGCGCUUGAAUACAUUAGCAUGGAAUAAU
rnacentral:rRNA from 1 species